GACGUAGGGCGCGAGCGUUGUCCGGAUUUAUUGGGCGUAAAGAGCUCGUAGGCGGCUUGUCGCGUCGACCGUGAAAACUUGGGGCUCAACCCCAAGCCUGCGGUCGAUACGGGCAGGCUCGAGUUCGGUAGGGGAGACUGGAAUUCCUGGUGUAGCGGUGAAAUGCGCAGAUAUCAGGAGGAACACCGAUGGCGAAGGCAGGUCUCUGGACCACAACUGACGCUGAGGCGCGAAAGCUAGGGGAGCAAACAGG
rnacentral:rRNA from 1 species